CUUUAAGCAACAUGAGGUCUAAGAAUCUUCAUUUCUAACAGUCUCCCCAGUUGACUGGCAUGCACAGUAUUGACAGGAAGCUGGAGAAUCAGUUUGGAAACAACAAAAACUAGGGCAGAUUCAUUCAGAGAAUGAGAAAACAGGAAAGACGGUCAGAGGCUCAGGGGGAAAAUAGUCUGGUCAGGGCACCAACCACUGCUGGAAAUGAAACAAUGCUGAACGUUUGUUUCACCGUGUUCAAGAUUCAAAUUUGAGAAAAGGACUGACUACAGGACUACCCGGGGUCAGAUUUGCCAAUCCCUUUGGCUCACUGCAUUCCCAUGGUCCUGGUGCCAUCCCGUAAGCUAUCAAGGCAUAGUAAUAAUCCUGGAAAGCACAAAUUUAAGGCAAAACAUUUGUCAAAGAAACCUGAUUGGAAGAAGCAAUAUAAACAAGUUUAAUGAACAGUCUUUCCUAUGUUUCCGGAUACAAUGCUGCAAUGUCUUCCGAGAAUGACCUUCCAUAGCAAUGAUGAAAAAUGAGAGUUGAAGAAAAAGAUUGUCACAAAUUCAAACUAAAGGAUUGGUAAAAUAGUUUAAUAAGAUUAGCUGUACCUGGUGCUAAGUGGAUAAUUGAAUGAGUCUGUGAAUAAAUAAGCAAAUAAGCCACUGAGUCAAUUAUUUAUAAACAUCUAUAAUUAUUAUACACCUCUGAGGGGCCCUUGGAUCAAGUUUCAUCCCAGCCCAUGAAUAAGUGUUGAGGUCAAUAGUGACAUCUGUUGAUUGCUGUAUUCAAGUUCUCUAAAGAAACAGAGCCAAGAGGAUAUGCGUAUGCAAAUUUCCAUGUCAAGGGCAAAGCAAGAAGGUUAUUGCAGGAUCUACUCUGCAAGGUUGCCAAAGGCCUAUGUUCUUGGCACAUGACUGAGGCAAAGCUUCACCAGAUGUCCUUAUACCCACACUACUGCCUUAAGGGAUGGCAGGCAGCCUGACACCUUUUUCCUGAAAUCAGCAUCCUCUGCUGAGAAAGGUUAACAUAGGUCUCACUUUAAAGGAGAAAUACUAAAAGGAAUUGUCUAUUAUCAUAGAAUAUAUAUUGAAGGGUGAAUUUGGAGCCAAGAGGCAAUAACUUGAUAACUGGCAUAUAGGCUAUGAGUAUCAGUUAUGAGAGCCAAUAAAUUCCCUUUUGGUUUUAGAUCUUUUCAGCUGGAUUUUCUGAAUAUUGUACAGAAAGACUGUUAACUGACAAAAGGCCCAGUCCUCAUACCACCUAGAGCAAAGCAGAGUUUUUCGUUGAAUAUUCUUUUCUGAGUCUUUCUGCCACUAUUUUCCCUCAAAAUCUUUCUGCCCUGGUCCUGUUUUUUUUAGUUAGAAUUCUACAUAUUGUCUUUGAUAUAUACGUUAAAAGCCUGUCAACAACAUAUUUUUAUUUUAAUAAUAGAAUUA
rnacentral:lncRNA from 10 species